UACAUGGGGUGCAAACGUUGCUCGGAAUCAUUGGGCGUAAAGCGCGCGUAGGCGGUUACACAAGUUGGAUGUGAAAGCCCUCGGCUUAACUGAGGAAGUGCAUCCAAAACUGUGCAGCUAGAGUACUAAAGAGGGUCGCGGAAUUCCCGGUGUAGAGGUGAAAUUCGUAGAUAUCGGGAGGAACACCGGUGGCGAAGGCGGCGACCUGGGUAGAUACUGACGCUGAGGCGCGAAGGCGUGGGGAGCAAACAGG
rnacentral:rRNA from 1 species